rnacentral:lncRNA from 1 species
AGGCGGGCCUGGCGGCCAGGGGCUCUGGGACGCGAACGGGAGGCCGGCCGGACAGACUGACGUUUGGCUGCAACGCGGGAGGCGCGUGGCAGGGAUGGCGCUGGCGCGGGCCUGGAAACAGAUGUCCUGGUUCUACUACCAGUACCUGCUGGUCACGGCGCUCUACAUGCUGGAGCCCUGGGAGCGGACUGUGUUCAAUUCCAUGCUGGUUUCCAUCGUGGGGAUGGCACUGUACACAGGAUAUGUCUUCAUGCCUCAGCACAUCAUGGCGAUACUGCACUACUUUGAAAUUGUACAGUGACCAAGAUGUGACCAAAAUCAAGAAGUUCUUUAGGGAAGAGCCACCGUCUGAAGUUGGAACGAGACUUCAUCAGAUGUCAUAAGAAACUCUACUAGAUGUCAACAUAACCAACCCUCUGAAUAUAAAGACUAAAAUUUAUGAGUUGAACAGGAAAACAAUCCUGACUCAUGUGUUGUGUUCUUUACUUUUAAUUUUAAAAGAGGCUCUUGUAUAGUAGUUUUUGUCUAUUUUAACAUUGUAGUCAUUUGUACUUUGAUAUCAGUAUUUUCUUAACCUUUGUGACUGUUUCAAUAUUACCCAGUGAAAGCUUUUCUUAAUGUAACUUUGAGUACAUUUUAAUUGCCUUCUAUUUCUAAAACCCAAAGUCAUUAGUUGGGCUUUACCGUUCUUGCUAUCAUAUGGCAUACAUAUCUGCCUGGAUAUAUUUCUACUCUUGACCAAAGUUUUGUAAGAAAAAAAUCAAGAUUUGGGGCAGGGGGAUGGGGAGGGAGGAUAUUUUAUUGAGAACUAUUUACAAAAGACUUAUCUGUAAGUUCGAACUCAGGAGUGCAGUUUUAGCUAUCUGGACUCUACUCUUAACAGCUUUUACUUUAAAACUAUUAAAGUGUUUCUUAACAAUGAAAAAGAAAGAUCUUGCUAAAGUUAAAAUAAGGAACAUUUCACCUUUUAAAUAUUUAAUUUGUGUGUGGACUGAUUUCCAGAAAACUUUGGUGAUGGUUCUUGUGACAAAUGGUGGUGAAGUAGCAUUAUUACGUAAUGCUUAUAUAUUGUAGAGUUUUUAAUAGAAGGUAAAUCAGUUUCCUCUGAGGGCCAUUAGUAACAAUGUACUUCCUUAAAUUUAGUGUCAUGAUUGUAAUGGGUGCUGCAAAUGCAUUUGCACAUUGUAAUAUGAUGAGAUGAAUUGUUAAAAACUAUAGCAAAAAGAAAUGUAAACUUGGUUAAAAUCCUCUCACUCUUUGUAUUGCUUUUUUUUUAAAAAGAUUUUUAUUCCUUAAAUGUAAAAUGACUACCUAAUUUUUUGAUGUAAACUCAUUAAAUUCAAAGAGAG